rnacentral:lncRNA from 1 species
UCAGGAGUUUAUCAACUUCCUCAACUAUUGCCUUCUGCCUUUCCAGUGCAUGACCUCAGAUUUUUUCCUUCAUUGGCCGAUGUUUGGGAUCAACAGCUAGACGAUGUUCCACGACUUCCAUAUCAAUCCCCGACAUGUCCGUCGGAACUCAGUCAAAAAUAUCCACAUUUUUUUGUAGAAAAUUGAUGAGCCGUGUCCGUACCUCUUCUCCC